UACGAAGGGGGCUAGCGUUGCUCGGAAUCACUGGGCGUAAAGGGCGCGUAGGCGGCGUUUUAAGUCGGGGGUGAAAGCCUGUGGCUCAACCACAGAAUGGCCUUCGAUACUGGGACGCUUGAGUAUGGUAGAGGUUGGUGGAGCUGCGAGUGUAGAGGUGAAAUUCGUAGAUAUUCGCAAGAACACCGGUGGCGAAGGCGGCCAACUGGACCAUUACUGACGCUGAGGCGCGAAAGCGUGGGGAGCAAACAGG
rnacentral:rRNA from 1 species